GCUGCCAACCGCAUUCAGGCCACAAUACAUGUUGUAGUGACGACAGCAACGCUCGGAGGUUGCCUUCCUUUCCAGUAGCCCAACGUUUUAUAUCAUAGUUCAGCGUAUCAGCAAGCCUAUGCUUCUCUUCCUGCUCAUUCUGAGACUGAAGAUCACGCUGAGUCUUCUCAGCCAAAGCCUUGGCCAUGCGCUCUUGGGUCUUCAAAUGAUGUUUCAACCUAGCAUUUCUUCUUUCUUCACUUUCAUCCUCAACUUCCUGAAAUGCCUCGGAGGAAGGAGCAGAGUCUCCAAAAAACAUUAAGUCAUCGACAAAGUUUUUCACAGGCGACGCGUUUUUUUUACUCAACGAUGACUUCUUUUCUUCUGGCAUUCCCUUCUUAUGGAAGCCUGCAGACAUAUGUCCCUCAGCUGCAGAUUUUGGCUUUGUCGUAUUGCUUGGUUUGUUGAUUGUCACCCUCACAUUUUUGGACUUCUCUUGUGCUCUGUCCACAGGACUCUUUACAGAGGAGUCCUUUUUAGGAACAUGUGGUCGUUCGGUUGUAUCACUCCUAACCUUAAAAUUGGCAAAAUUUUCAAGCUCGUCAAUUGAAGAUGUCACGGGAUUACUUCCACGAUGCUGUUCCGACGAUUCUGAAAAUGGCCAAGAAGAAGCAUUUGCCUCACUGGUAGAUGAUUCAAAAACCAAAAAUGGAUCAUCUGGUGAAGAGGAGCUUGAUUUAGAAGAAUUUGAUUGCUGAGGACUUCUCGGGUCUGAUUUUUUGCUGUAACUUGGGGAGCUAAAAUCACCAAAUCCAGGAAUCAAAUCAUCACCUUCUGACCUAUUUACAGCAGGAUCUUUCUUCAAACUAUCCGACUUCAAUCCCAAAUUCCCAAAUAUAUCAUCAAUCGAGUCACUCCUCUUUGGUUCCGUACCAAACAAAUCAAAAUCAUCAUUCACAUUCUUACUAGCAUAGUUAUUAUUAUUACCCGAACUCGAACCUCCCAAUACUGAUUCAAUAUCCACAUUAUUCUGCUGCUGCUUUGAAUUUGCAAACACACCUCCAAAAAUAUCAUUAUCAUCGUAGUUCGGCGAAGUCUUAGACCUGAAAAUUCCAUCGAGAUCAUCCGCAAAUGGAUCCCCAGAGCUAUACCCGGUGUUUUGACCCGAAUUAAACCCGAGAUUCGACGGAAAACCAUUGCUGGAAUUGUUUUUCGCCUUCAAAUUAGCCAUGGGCGUUGACUUGCCUCCUUGAACUUUGACGCCAUAUCUCUCAACCAAAACGCCAAAUUCAUCCAUAUUUUUUUCAAAAAAAAAUUACAAUAGCAGAGCAAUUCGAUCUCUGAAUAUCAAUAUCUAAUCAACAAAAAUAAAACGCAAUAUGUGUAUAUUACAAUACAAAAAAAAAAGGAAGGUGCAGAGGAAUGAGC
rnacentral:misc_RNA from 1 species